rnacentral:rRNA from 1 species
UUUUCCCCCCCCCUCGGGAUGUAGCCGUUUCUCGGGCUCCCUCUCGGGAGUCGAACCCUUUUUUUUCCGUUACCCGUUACAACCCUGGUAGGCACAUAAACACCCAUGGACGGUGUUAGGCACCCCCUAAAAGUGUUGCCGGGAGACCUGCAUGAGUAGUUAUUAAGAGUCACCAACCAGGCGAACCCCAUUGUUUUGUUCUAAUAAAUGCCUCUCCCCGAAGUUAGAGCUUCAAGGCGUGUAUUAGCUCUAGAAUUACCACAGUUAUCCCAAGAGAUCAGAGAUCCAAGAAAGGACGGCUGUUGUAUUGACCCUUCGCGGCUUUACCGUAGUACGGCUUCUGCUUAGUUAGAUUAAGCCAUGCAUGUCUAAGCAGAAGCCGUACUACGGUAAAGCCGCGAAUGGCUCAUUACAACAGCCGUCGUUUCUUGGAUCUCUCGAUCUACUUGGAUAACUGUGGUAAUUCUAGAGCUAAUACACGCCUUGAAGCUCUGACCUUCGGGGACGAGCGCAUUUAUUAGAACAAAACCAAUGGGGUUCGCCCCUCGGUUGGUGACUCUGAAUAACUACUCCGAUCGCACGGUCUCGCACCGGCGACGCAUCUUUCAAGUGUCUGCCUUAUCAACUGUCGAUGGUAGUUUAUGUGCCUACCAUGGUUGUAACGGGUAACGGAGAAUAAGGGUUCGACUCCGGAGAGGGAGCCCGAGAAACGGCUACCACAUCCAAGGAAGG